rnacentral:lncRNA from 1 species
AUGUUUGGAGUUGUGAGAGAUAUAGGUUGCUUGGAGAAGAGAAGAGGGGAGACUGCCCUUUCUUUUCUUUUUAAAGAUUUAUUUAUUUAUGAUAGAGAGAGAGAGAGAGGCAGAGACACAGGAGGAGGGAGAAACAGGCUCCAUGCUGGGAGCCCGAUGCGGGACUCCAGGAUCGCGCGCUGGGCCAAAGGCAGGCGCCAAACCGCUGAGCCACCCAGGGAUCCCCAAGACUGCCCUUUCUGUACUGGAUUUUCCUUCCUUUUUCUUAGUGGAAACCACAUGAGCCCCUGCCUUUUCUUUUUUUUUUUUUUUUUUUUUUUUUUUUUUUUUUUUUUUUUUUUUUGCCCCUGCCUUUUCAUCUUGUUUCACAGCAGCAGCUCUCACUCAGUGGGCACUCUGCUCCAGUAUCAGUGAGCUGUGUGAUGUCAAGCAAAUCAGUGAAUUGCUCAGCGCACAUUUUCUCGUUGAAAAGAGGAAAUGUCUUCUGAAGCUAAUAGAUGUAUGAUUUUUGCAGGGAUUUAAAUUCAUUUUAACUAGUAGAGCUUUUCUGAUGAAAGAAGUGAAAUAACCAGUUCAGUUACAUAUAUAAAAUAAAAAGAUGUAGAUCUUGAUAUAGCAGUUUGCUAUUUACCCUUCUAAACUUUAAAAAAAUUUUGCUUUAUGACAUAAAAAUGUGUGUCUGUGUGUGGCAUAUAUAUGGCAUGUAUGUAUUCCUAAAUAUAUAUAUUCCUAAAUAUAUAUAUGUAUACAUAUAUAUAUAUAUACACACACACAUAUAUGGCAUGUAUGUAUUCCUAAAUAUAUAUAUAUUCCCCAUAAUUUUAAGUUGUUUUAUAAAAAUAGAAUAAUACCAAACCAUCUGCAGGAUUCUCCUUUGCUCUCCCUCCCCCAGUCACAAUUCCAUGAAUUUUUUAUUUUGGUCUGCUAAAGGACACAGGUCUUCUAUGACAAUCUAAUAAAGAUGGCCUUCUAGCAUCCUGGGGUGACUAGCACUCCAAGGGCCUACGUCUCUGUCACCAAAAGCAACUUGGCAGAAGCCUGUCCUCCUAAACUUGCUCCUCUGAAGCAUUGGAAUUCAAACUUUUCCAGAUUUCUUCUUCCCCAAAGCCUUUCAACUUGAAGAGUUAGGCAUUCCAUUUUUAAAUGAAUGACAUUCCAAAUCAAAGGAAGAAUAGGACAUACUCUGGUCAGGUGGGUGAAGAGUAAACUGGCCAGGGUUGGAUAGGGAGGGUAGUAUGGGGAGGACUAUUCUAUGUCAGGCAGAGUGCUAGGCACUUGGGGCAACAGCAGAAAACGAAAAGCUCCUGCCUUCAACGGGACUUUAAAUUCUGCUGGAGAGAGAAAUUUGUCAGGUGAUGAAUGCUUCAGAGAAAAUAACACAAACAUCUGAUGCUGGAAGAGACAUGUCAGCAGAAGUCCAAUGAAGUGAGAGGGAAAAACAAGUUGGGUAAGACUUUGAGAAGAAAGUACCCACUUUUGACAAAAGUAUAUCCACUUUGCAUUUUACCUCACCAUGCCUCACAUCUUUCCUUUCCCAGUUUACAUUCCAUGGUUGACCAUAAUCCCCCUCCCACCUUGUAUUCACCAUCAACUUCCUUGCCCCUUUCUUUCACUUCAUUGACUUUAACUGACAAACCAUAAUCUGGGUUACAUACAACGUUGCACCUGUGCCAUUCAGAGUGGUUGGAGAGAAAUGUGUAACUAGAGUCCUAUUUUAAAUUCAUGAUCUUCAGUCUUAGGAGGGGAAUCACCAACAUUUCCCCUUCUAUUCAUUUGCCUACUCAGAAGAUGAACCAUUUCAUGCCUUCGCCCUUUCUUCAAAUC